ACAGAAUGGAAUUACAGAGGCAGAAAAAAAUGAGGUCUCUGCCAAAUUGAUAGUUUAAAAAACAUUUUAGUGGCCUACUUAACUGUAAUUUGUUUUAGUUUUAAACAAGAAAAACCUCAGCAUGUAAGCAAAGCAGACUGGACUUGAACAGAUAUGGAAUGCAAAGCACACAGGAGAGUCAUGGGGAUCCUGAACGGGGAUUAGAAGUUGGACAACUUUUUAUGCAAUGAACAACACUGCAUUGGAGACAGUGGAUUAAAUUAAACAGUAGUGCAUAUCACUUGGCUGAAGUGACAGGAAUAAAGAACAGAAUGCAUCCACUCCUCCAGUCUCAUUAAGCUGCCUCUUUCUCCUGAAAUUGGAUUGGGAUUCCAGGACACCUCUCAACCUACAGGAAACACUGGAUCUAAAGCUGAAACAGGCUUUUAAAAAGAUUUGCACAAUACAUCCUUCAUAUUGUUAUUUUUAUCUCUG
rnacentral:lncRNA from 1 species